rnacentral:rRNA from 5 species
ACGACUCUCGGCAACGGAUAUCUCGGCUCACGCAUCGAUGAAGAACGUAGCAAAAUGCGAUACUUGGUGUGAAUUGCAGAAUCCCGUGAACCAUCGAGUUUUUGAACGCAAGUUGCGCCCGAAACCAUUUGGUUGAGGGCACGUCUGCCUGGGCGUCACGC